rnacentral:lncRNA from 10 species
CACGGCUGUGAGGCCUGAGAGGGGCGUGCCGUAGGGAGCUGUGAUGGGCGGGGCUGAGACCUGUGAGGAGAGUGAGUGGGAAGAACUUCGAGGGGCGGGGCUUCGGGGCCGGCGAGGGGAGGGGCACGGACACCAGUACAGGACGGGGCUUCGCAGACAGCGAGCGGAGGGGCUUCCCCGUAAGGGGCGGGCUUCGAGGGUCGCGUUUGGAAGGCCUUACGAGGGGCCCGGUGGAAGGGCGGUGAAGGGCGGGCUAAUCGGGAGGCGCUCAGGCCUUGAAGGCCUGCGGGAGGUCGAAAUGGUCCUGGGGAGGUCGAGGCUGAGGUCUCACUAGUACCGCGGGCCUGGAAGCGGCGGGAGUUGAAAGAGCCUGCGGUGACCUGUAUGGAAGCCCUCGAAGCCAGGCCGAGGUCCUACAAGACGGAGCCCGAGAGGUGCCGGUCUUAAGCUGACUGUGACCACGUUAAAUUAAGGAUUCAUAGGAAGGAAGGCGGUGUCGAAGCCGGGAGUUGCGCGGAGAAGGAGCGCUCAACACAGCCUCAGCGGUUCACUACGCAAGCGCGACCAACGGCUUCCCGGGAAGCAGCCAAAAACGCUUGGCCGCCUACCACGUCCGCGCGCUGGAGGGCGGAAAUGAAGAGACUGAGGCAUAGAGAAGUUAUUAGUAACUUGCCAAAAAUUACACAGCCAUUGAGUAAAACAGCUUGGAUUUUGAGUCCAACCAGUGUGGCUCUAGAGUCUGUGCUAUACUGGUAUUCCAGCUUCCAGGUCUUGGGGUACCCAGCCAAGCACUGAACUGUCCAUCCCUCACCCCCUCAGGGAGCCCGAAUCACCAACAGCUAUCCCAAACCCAGCUCUGGCCCAUCAGAUACCCAGACAUCCCAUCAUCCAGUUCCCUUCCCUGGAUCCAGGAUUUGAAUUCCCCUGCUCUCAAUUUAUCAGAGUUCUGGGCACCUGGUCCCCUCCCAAGAGACUCGUGUACAUAGUAGUCAUCACCCCGACCCUAAUUUAAUAUCCCCAAAAUUAAUAAUAAUAGUUAACAGUAAAC